GACUUUUCCAGCAGAUGGAUCUCACAUUGUCUCCAGUGAGGUGCUGUAGCGUGUAAGCUGGACUUAAUCCUCCAGGCAGCGUGUACAGCUUGCCUUGCAUUUGUCUCCAAAUAAGACUUUUAAAGAGUUUUUUUUCUCCACGGGGUGAAGAGCCGCCUGUCAGUCCUCCAUAACAUGCAGGGGGAGGUGGUAUGAAUUGAUUCAAGGGCGACGCCUGACCCCUCCGCUCUUGUUAGUUCAAGCCUAUGAAAUAUAAAAUAGUAAGAUUACAAGCUUCAGCAGAAGGAAAUGUCUGCUAUACUUUUGGAGCUGGGGUUUUUCUUUACGGUGUGUGUGCUAGUUAUUAGCUUGUUUGGCUCCUUCGGGGCUCAAGGUGCCUAUCGGUCAAAACAAUCUCACAACAAUUUUAUGAUGGAUUUGUCAUGCGGUUAUAUAAAGAGGACGAUAGCGAGCGCUCCCUCCCUGAAGACUUGCACUGAGGAGGACGAGAAAAAGUGAAGGGUAAUCAAAACAUUUAGGUUUAACUUAUUGGCUAACAAUGUAUUUUUCUGCUAUAAAGUUUUCUUUUAAUUGCAUAAAUGCUAGCACUAGUUGCGACGUUGUUGAAGUGAUGAUUGAUCGCAGAAGAGGUAGCAAUUUAUCUGCUGCCUAAACGGGCAGCGGUAAUCAAAACAAGGUAGUUUGGCUUUUGCUUAUGGCGAUAACAAUAUAUUUUGCCAGUGUAAAGUUAGAACGCAGGGAUCUCCAAAUACAAUCCAUACUUGACACGCUAAGUGAAGUGACACACUGAUACCAACAGGGGGUGCAAUUGGGUUAGUUUGUCACCUUUAGAGGUACAGUAGCAAAUCAGUGUUGCCAAUAAUAUGUCAAUAUAAUAUAUAGAAUAUAAUAUGUGAGCCAUAGAAUAAGCGCAGCAUAAUCUGUUGUUUGCUGUUCAAUUGUGCUCAUUUUCAAAAGUUGUCAAUAGCCAACGUGUGACGGGAGAACUGGCCGAGAUUAAAUAUUAGUUAUUUUAUUUUGAUGAAAUGGAUAAUUUUAAACAACAAACCGAGUAUCAAGUAUUUUUUUGUUUUAAACCUAAUUAAGGUGUUUUUACUCACUUGUUUUGUCUCUCCUGAGGUCAUGCUUUUUUCCUACAGUAUUUUAUAACAUAUGCAAAUGUAUGCAAAUUAGACGAUGGCGUCACCUAGCCACUGCUAGGACAGCCAAUAGCUACUUUUCUUACUGAAACGUUGGCAACAGGGUAGCUAACAAGUUCAGUUUAGCUUAGCUUUUCACAUACGAUGCUAACAGCAUACAAGGGGGUGCAGUUAGUUCAGUUUGCUGCCUGUUUGCCGAAAAGUGCCGUAGAAGCAUAAGUGUCAUUUCCGCCAUUUUUGGUCUUUUGCUGGGACCCCUGAUACAGGUGUGGCAGGUUUCCUCCACCACCCGGACCAGAAGUGCCAAACGCAGGUCAUAAACCAGGUGAAGUUGCUGGGAGGGUUGGCCCGGCUUGAGCAUCUCAUGGUCACAAGGGUCCCAAACGGCACCGGACCUGAUGGACUGAUGGAGGCUACGGUGUCCCUGGGGUCAACUAAGAGGAGAAGAGGUUGUAAACGGCGGAACACUCAAGAUUGUAGCCGUGGUGCUCUGCUGUCAAAGUCAGCGUAUCCUCGAGUUUAGUCGUGAAGGUUCCAUCUGGGAGCUGCUCCACACGUUGCUGGUUGUCAUCACUGUGAUGCCACUUGAGCUGAGGCGGCGACUCCGGGCAAGGAGUGUAAGCAUAGCAGGUCACGGUGAUGGACUCGUUCUCUUUAAGCGGGCCUGAUGGGAGGGUGAUGGUCGUGUUCGGGGGGUGUUCUGUGGAGCCAAAAUGACAAUCAGGUUCAUAUUUCAAUAAAUGUGCUAGAAGUUACAUCAUUAGGGACACCAAAAUUCAAGUACUCAGUCUACAUGUGACACAAUUAAGAAAUGAUUUGGCACAGAAUUAUUACAAGUUUUGCACCAAAUUUACAAUUUCUAAUUUAUUACAUGGAACAUUUUUUUUUAAUUAAA